ACGGGGAUCAUUAUCGUAGCAACACAUCUUUGGGGGUGAAGGCAUUCCCGCGCGGUGUUAGCUAAGUUUUCAUGUUACCGGGUGUAGUUCGUAAAGGUUGAUAUGUGUAUGUUAGGAUGAAGCGUGAAUUCAUGCCAGGAAUAAUAAGUGUGACGUUUGAUUUCCUCCCUUCUGUAAUAAGCAGCCAAUGAGUUCUCACGGAAGGUGAUAAUUCUGACUAAACUACAGAAUAAAGCCGCCAGUUAAAAUCAA